UAGGUCAACUCAAAUCAAAACAUACUCUUGGGAUAAUGCCCAGGUGAUUCUGGUUGGGAACAAGUGUGACAUGGAAGACGAGCGGGUCAUCUCAACCGAGCGAGGCCAACAUUUAGGAGAACAGCUUGGGUUUGAGUUUUUUGAAACAAGUGCCAAGGAUAACAUUAAUGUCAAGCAGACAUUUGAGCGCCUUGUGGAUAUCAUCUGCGACAAAAUGUCAGAGGGUUUGGAGACUGAUCCUGCCAUCACUGCUGCAAAGCAGAACACAAGACUCAAGGAAACCCCUCCUCCACCGCAGCCCAACUGUGCCUGCUAGUGUCCCCAUGCACACAGGCAGCUCCAGAGGGCUCCAGCUGCCAACAAACAGCAUUUGUAAAUGGUCUAUUAACCUUCAUUUAUACUGCCUAAUAAUUAUUUGAAGGAAUAAGUGAUGUUGAUGGCUCAUACAUGCAUUCAAUUCUUGGGAGAUUUCCUGUUUAAUAUGUGGCAAAUAUGUGAUCUUAAAUUUGUAAGGACUAUCCAUCUAUAAACAUCUAGUACCUGCAUGUGACUUGUUAUUUAUUUGUCUGCUAGGCUUUUUUUGUUUGUUUCAAAUUUGUUCUCAGACUACUUCUGGGAUAUCAGACUAUAAUUUCACUAUAACUAACUGGCUUUUGUCCCAUUGAUUCAAAUUAUAGCAUUCACUUGUAGGAAUGAUGACCAAGGAAUUUCAUGUGUGUGUGUGUAUGUGUGUGUGUGCAUGCACAGGGGAAGAUGUCACAAAACUUCAAUUGCUUUACUCUUAAUGGAAAGUCAAAUGGAAGUUUUUCUCCUGAUGAGGGAUGCUGUCAUGAGUCUGGUCAGUUUACUGUUGGGAACUGUGUCUUUAUUUCACUGUUAUUAAUAACUGAGGAGAUCACUGGCCUAUAAAGAAAUUGAAAUGUUGUUUUGAAGAUCCUUGCAAUUUUCCUAAGUCAUUAAUUUUACCUGACUGGGGCUAUUUAACAAUAACCUUUGUUUACACAUUUAAAUAAGCAAAUACCUACUCAGUACUGUUUUUUUUUUUCACUGAUCCUACCCAACUCCCUGAAUAUUUGACAGCAUCGAACAGACUGAGAUGUAUCUACUGAAUGCCAGUUAUGCAACAAGCAUUUUAACCAAGAAGGGUGUGAGUAGCUCUAGAAUUCCAAGGUCCAAGCUUCCUUAUUUUUUAAUGACUUGCCUCCUCCAACCCUCAUAAUGCACACCAUUGUCAUCACCACCAUCACUUUCUGGAACCAUCACUAACUCUGAACUAGAGCUUAUUGUUUACACUUGUUAGGGCUCCUCUUACUUUAGGAUGCAGACUUGCCUCCCCAAACAUGGCCAUCGUCCGAAACCUCAGCUAAGCUCUUUUACCUGUUUAAAUGCUACUUAAAUCAGAUUUCAAAGGGUCCCAAGUUGAGGAAAAGAAAAAUUUUAGUCUUUAAUCAUCUUUUUAAGUCCAGAUGUUUAUAAAUUCCAAAGCAUAUUCCUAUUACAUGCAUGGUUAAGUUACACAGCAAACAUUCUAUAACUGUAGUAUUUCAAUUUCUGAAAUAUUUAGGGUCCAUAGCAAUUUAAAAGAGGGAGGAAACCAUUGGAACAUUCCAAUUUUGUAUCACAAACUUCCUAAAGAACCUGUAUGAAUAAAGAGCAAACAACAAGUCCUUCCCCCAGCUGUGCAGAAUGACAGGGAAACUUGGCCUCUGUACCACUGUUGCUAGGAUUUAGGAAGGCAGCAGGGACUAUCUGGCAGAUUUGGAAGGAUAGUUCCAUUAAGUGAACCUUAUCCUUUUUUGGUGGUUAUGCCAAAGAAUUUUUUUUCAUAUUUUCAAAAAUAGAGAAGCUUCCCAUAAAAGUAUUGGAUGUAAGUGAAACAGGCAUACAUCUGAAGAUAUCUCUGGAGAAUAAAUCCUUACAAGUUACAGAACUAGGUCGCAUACAUUAGUGAGUUAAAAGUUGGAAAUUAGGGGAGACAGCAUUUGGAAUGCUUUAAGCAUUUCCAUGUUAUUUCUCACCUUCCUAGUUGAAGAGCCACUAAUCAGUAGUACUUUUCUACUUUGGCACCCUACGAGGCAAGCAUUAGCAUGGUAAAGACAAGAAAACAUUAAUGUUUUAUUAGUUUUUAAUGGGGAAACCAACUUUAAAAUCACAGGAAUUACAGUGAAUGGAAAGAAAGAAGCAGAGGGCAUAAAAACAGGUUGGUUUGCAGCAGUAGUCUGUUUGCAUGAUGUUAUAAUAUUUCUGUAACUUGGGCCAGAAUGUGGCCAUGUUAAAUGAUAUAGCAUUAAGCUCACUUUUACAAUCUAAAAAAAGGAACUAACAAAGCCAGGAAACCCUUCCCGUCCUCCUUCAAGCCCUCACACCACAUAUAUAAAUAGAUGUAAAAAGCAUAGAAAGAAUAUUUCGAUGGCUUUUUCAGAAGGACCUUGAUGUAUGUAUUAUUGUAAAAUGAAAAUCAAAAUGAAACAGUAUUUAAAAGUGAAAAAGCAGAGUUUUGCUCUCCUGAAAACCCCUUCCAUGAAGAACUGACUGCUGCUAAAAUUAAUUGGCCCUUAGAUGGGAAGCCCUAAGCCAAGUGCCCACUUACACAGUGUCAAACAUCCUGAAACUGAAGCAUUUUAUACCAGUCAGAGGAAAGGCAUGCAACAAUAGCCCACGUGUCAUCGCCAAGAAACGUCUGAUACUUUCUAAUUUCUAAAUCCCAAUGGAAGCGAAUUUCAUUGAUUCUCAGUUCUGAAACCCCCACCCUGGUUGGAUUUCCAUUCCAAAUAAUUCAGUGAGAAGUUUCCAUAGAAAUAGUCACAGAGCUCAAGAGAAAGAACGCUUGCUUCUGCUGUAAAGUAUAUAAGAAAAGAGAAUAUUCUCUAUUCCUAAUUGCAUCAAGAAAUCCAGGGUUUAAUAUCAAAUUUGGCAAAUGCUGGGAGCAACUCAAGGUUAACUAAGUGAGCUUUCACUGGCAAUGAGCUGUUACUUAUAAAUUACAGCGCUAUAGUUCCAAGGUUUUUCAGCCUUUUGGCCAACACACACACACACACACACACACACACACACCGCUUCAUCUACCAACAAUCUAAAUACAUAAACAAAUGCAGGUCAUUUUUAUCAAUGGCCUAAAGAAAUUUAUAUUUUAAAAAACAAGACAUUUUAAAAAGUGCAUACUCCUGUUAGUUUGUAAGUCAUACACAUUUAUCUCUUGUCUUCAGUGCAAGUAAACUGGUGUUUUAAGAAUGAAUUUAUUUUUCUUUGCUACUCAUUACCUGACCACUCUCACUCCUCUAAAUUCCUUUAGGAAGAAACCUUGACUGUUUCAAAUAGAUUCUCUAAGAGCUUUGGUGUUGGUACCUUCCUUUCCUUUCCCAAUGCAACUGAAAAACUGGACUGAAAAUUUAAUCACUUAAAUAACCAUCCUCAGAUUGAAUCAGCAUUUCAGUGUUUGGAGAUGGGGAUGGAAGUAGAAGGUGCACGAAGCAUCCUAAGAUGGAGGUUUGAAUGUUAGCAUCACAUCUACACGCUCAUAAAAGGAACUGCUUCAGGACAAGGAUCAGUUCAUUGUUCCUGCCCCACUGAACAGCUCUGACUGCCUUGAUGAACUUCUAAUGACUGUGAAAGCCAGGACGUUCUUCUAUUUCCUCCUUCUGGUCACUUGAAGUUCAAUCUUCUUUUCCUGCCUGGUAACUAAGGGCUGAGAUGUUUACUCGGCAAGAAAACUAUGACGAUGCCUCCAGUUGUAGCAGAAAGUUGUGGCAUUGUAAUAAUAAAAUCUACAAAGUUACAACCCAAAUUAUACAAGACAUCAAUACACUUGGUAAACAAAUAUAUAUUUCACCUAAUUAAAUCUUACUCAUGUGAAUUAUAGGCCUUUUGUUUAGUACACUGGUUAUUUUUUAAGGAACCAAUUUAAACUUUCAAUUUUAAAUACAUGGAUGCUGACUAUAGACUUUCAGGUAUAUACAACCUUCUUCUAAAAGUUAAAUACAUUCCACUAUUAACUGAACUUCCAUGAAGCAAUAUUAAUUUUAGAGCAUGGUAGUCCAUAAUCAGUGGUUCAUUGUGAUGUGAUUUAUCCAACAUGUAUUUUUAGUGCAUGGUUGAGAAUGUACUACGUGAUCUUUUAGUUAACAGUGUGGCAUUUGUGGGACUAUAUUAAAAGCAUAUCCAAACUACCAAGCUGUACCAAGCUGAGGUAGCACCUGCAUGUGAAAAACUGUGAUAUGAAUCUUAUUUAUAAAAAGUCUUAACUAAAACCCUUCUAGACCAAAAAGUUACUGUGUGUUUGUUAAUAAUCUUCAUAGUACUACUGGAAUGCUCAAUCAGGUACUUUUGGUGUGGCAUACCUGGGAGCUGGCCUGUCUGUAUGAAGAAUCCUUUCUCUCACAAUUACAGUUUGCAUGACUAGAACCUGGAAUUCCAUUCCUUUGCCUGUAUGGUCACUUAGUGUGCUGUCUGGGUGCCACAUGGGCAGCUACACCCAUGUGGUCUUUCUGUCACUCCCUGGAAAAUGCAGCCUCUACAGCUCUGCUCAGCUCUGCCUGUGUGUGUUGACUACUUUCACUUCAGUAGUUUGCCUGUAAAAUGGUGAAGUCUUUUUGAUAUGCUGAACCUUUGAGCCAGCUUUUGGGAGUUCUUCAUAUUUUAUGUGAAUUUUUGACCAAAGUCAAUUAAAGACAUAACCUGUUUUAUAUCCUGGAAUUUACUGGGACAAAUUAGGUAAAAGAUAAAGUUUAUGACCAGAAUAAAAAAGCUUUUACCCCUGCACUGCACUGUAUCUAAAGGGCUCUAGGUUGUAGAAAUACAGUACCCCCAAACUGGGAAAAACCAAGUUAGGGGAUUUGUCUAAAAUGUAUCUCCCUAUUGUUACUGGUAUUUCACACAUAUUUUUUCUUAAAAACAUUUACAGAAAUGCUUGACACUCCAGUCAAAAGAUAUUUCCCUUUGACAGAUUGAAAUAUUUGCUCUUAGAUUACACACACAGUGCUGCCCUUCUCAACAAUCACUCACACGCUCACAAGCCUGAUACAAAGAUAUCAGGUAAACACUGAUACUUUUUUUAAGAAGGGAAAAGUCCAUCUAUGGUGCUUUCUCAGUACUAGGGAAAAGGGAGCUUUUACUAUGUUCUAACUAUAACUCACAUCUUACUUACAAGGUCCAUGAAAUUGGUUCUUCACACUGAUUUGAUUUGAUUAGUCUGUGCACAUAAUUAAUUUCCUCUAAACAGAGAGAAUGGAGGGGAAAUACAUUUUGCAAACAUUCUAGAUAACAGAAAUGAAUUAUUUUAAAACAUCACUCAGAGCUCGAGUAUUAAGAUCAGACCAUCUAGCUAGUGAACAAACUGAACUAUUUAAAGUUCUCUUUUAGUUUUUGACUGUCAUGAAAAUUAUUGCAGUUUUUAAAAACACCAUCCUCAUGGAAUGACAGGACCAAGAAUAGAAAAUGAGACUCAAGUUUCACCAUUUACUUCCCAUCAGCAACCAUUAUUGGUGGAGUUUCAGUCAUUACUUGCUGAAAUGAGGUUUGAGGUUACCUGUGUAUUUCAUUCACCUGUGUUCAUAUUUUGUUCAUCGUGGACAAGUGAGAGUUGGCUGUGGCUUUAUUUCUUGAUGCAAAUUAUUUUGCAUUCAUGUUAUUUGGGGCUAGGUAUUGCUUAGGUUCGUGAAUGCUGUUCUUACAGACACAGAUGGCACAUGAGCCACUCAGACACCUGCCCUUUCAGGGACGUGAGCAUGACCUACAUCUGUCUAGUGGUUCCAUACUUAUUCUUGUAAAAGUAAAGUUUGGGUAUUGUUUGCUGUAUCAAUAUGAUGGCUUUCCAUGCAUUAUCUCAUUAUCCCUAGAAUACGUGCUGAAGGAAAACUGUCCUGUAAUUCCUGUUAAUAUAUUGUUAAUGUCAGAUGUGAUGUGAUACCGUUGGACUGUCCAAAUGUACAACUAUUUAAUGGUGUUUGUAGAACUGAAAUGUCUUAAAUGUUGCAUGAAAUAUGUUAUAAAAUAGAUUUGUUUUCUAUUUUCAACACCUCAGAAUUGAGGGUUCAUGGGCCAAUAAGUGCAAUAUUUAAUGACUUACUCAGUGUAUAUAAACUAGUAUGAAAGAGUGAAUUAUAAUGAAUGUGUGAGAUGCUUUGAUAGCUGUGUGACUUAUUUAAAUGAUUUUCUUGUAGCUGUAUUUGUCUCGUGGUGCAAUUUAUACAGUAAAUAUCUUAUUGGUGUCAUGUAAAACUCCUCUGUGCCUACUUCAAAAUACUUUUUUCUUAUAAAACCAAACAUUUAGUAUCUGAAAAUAUAUGUCAAUUUUAUCUUUUAGAAUUGUGGAUUUUAUUGUCAAGACAGAAUGGCUGUUCAUUUAUUUUGUGAAAGCAUCUCCUUCUAUAACUCAAACUUUAAGUGUCAUAUAAAAGUGUACAUUUUACUUUUAAGCAACUAAUUUAGAUACCUAAGAAAAACUAUGUGCAUUAGGAAAAGUCAGGUUUUUCUUCUCAGAAAGGUUGAUCACAUGAUAUGUCUACUAAGAAUUUUCACCUCUGUAUUUGUAUGUAUAUUUUAUUGCUACUCAAACUUGUAUUUUAUUUACAAAUUCAACAGUGUCAACGCUGGGAAUUCUAAAAUACCAGUGUAUUUCUAGGUUGUAGCAAAUGUUGUAUUCACUUUCAAUUCUCAGUUGUCCACAAUGGUGAUACAAGAGGAACAAAUCAGAAUCCUUAAACACUUUGUAACGCCAUCAUAAAUUCAUACAUUCAUCCUCAAACUCCCUUGUUUAAUGCUAAUUGGUGGCCUCAAACUUCACUGAAAUGCAAAAUCAAGAACUUAGGCCUGGCUGCUGGAUAACUAAAAGCUAUAAAUGUUUAUGUAUGUGAAAUUUAAAGUAGAGUAAGCAUCUUAAACUUCUAUUUGCCAUUUCUCUUUUUAAGGUAAAGCAUUCAUUUAAUAUUGUACUUUGUCUUUUCAUUCAGUUAGUGGAGUAAGUCAUGAAACGCUUAGGAAGAAAAACAAAUUAUGACUUAUUCACUAAAAUUGAUGCAAGACAGUUAAUUCUAGAUGACCAUGGCCAUGUGUUCAUCAUAUUUAAGCCUUCAGUUCUCUCUAUGGAGCUUGGUUGAAGAUUGCCAUGUGAGGAUGUGCCAGUCAUAUUAAAUGGAUUUGGUCUAUGUGGGUGAUAUGUGGCCUGAAUGUAACUGUGAUAGACUGAAAUUUGUUCUUAGCUCUCAAAACCCACUGAAGAAGUCAAGUGAAGGUGGGUAAAAUAGAGGGAUUAGUGAUAACUUUGUGCCAAAUUUUUUACAGAAUGGAAACAGGUAGCCAACAUUAGAAUGAUAAUUUAAGGGUGUGAUUGAAUGUUUAGUUAGUUGUCACAUAGUUAUUGAACCCCAUAUGCUCAGUGCUGUGGGAAUCAAACAUGGAAGAGGUAUGGCUUCUGCCCCUAAUAAGAACAAGGCACAAAAAUCCAGAUGUAUUCUAAAUGCUAGGCUAUGUCAGGGUUUAGGAGCACAGAGAAUGGGGGACCUGUAAGAACUGGAAGAGUCAGAGAGGGCUCCAUUGAAGAGGUCAAACAUAAUUCCAGAAAUAAUUAGGUACUGAGGAGACUGUGCCAGGAAAAUAAGUGGGAAAGGCCGCAGUCAUGUUUCCUUUGAAUGGAAGAGGGACAAAGCUAUCAGCUAUAGAUUCACUGUUUUUCUCAAGACAGCCGAACUGGCCCUUUGCAACCACUCAAAUUGCCCCAGUUUAGCUCCCUACCUUUUGUUCUCCAUGAGGAAGACAAGCUGUUGUAUCAUCAUAUUCCUCUGUGCUGAGCCACUCAAGACUCAGCCACGGUAUGUAAAUUGCUUUAAUGCCACAUUACAGCAGUUGCUUUAGACAUUUGCCAGUGCACCACACCAUGAGAGAUUGUCUGACCUAAUGCCACCCGGCUGAUGUGUACCCAGAUAUUUUUCUGUAGCUCCAUGUUUCCCGUAAAGGGCAUUGGAAAUGCACAGAUGAAGAUCUUCCUUUGGAACCAGGUACUUUUGGCCCCUUCUCAGUGACUGCACUGUGGAACUCUUCUUAAGAAAAUAUUGUAAACAGCUUAAUGCUUUCAUAUAGUGACUGACAUUUAGUUGAAAACUGCUGCUGCAUAGCAAAUAUUGUGACUCUUCAUGUGUCCACAGGAGAUCUUGUGUGGGUUUAAAGCCAUGAAGUGUAUUCACAUUGUGAAGUUUUAAUUAUCUUUAUUGAAAUUAAUUGUGUAAAAAAUGGUAUGUGCUCUAUUAGGUAUUCAGUUUGUAUGUGAAUUCUGUAUAGAAAGUGGUUUUUCUUUGAGUUUACCUUGUUUAAUUUCUUGAAGAUUACAAUAAAUAUCUAAGAGACUAUAUUCCUGAA